UGUCCGAAUGGGGAAACCCAGCACUCGUGAUGGAGUGUUACCCCGGCCUGAAUACAUAGGGCCGGUGGAGGGAACCGGGGGAAUUGAAACAUCUCAGUACCCCGAGGAAAGGAAAGCAACCGCGACUCCCUUAGUAGCGGCGAGCGAAACGGGAAGAGGCUAAACCGUGUCAGUGUCAAGCCUGGUGGCGUUGCUGACGCGGGGUCGAGGGACCAUGAGAUUGAACACCAGAUCAAUCACGGAGUUACCAAGUUGCUGUGUAGAAGAACGGUUCUGGAAAGGCCGGCCGUAGUGGGUAAUAGCCCCGUAUUCGAAACACACGCAACCUCCGCAUGUCAUCCCAAGUAACGCGGGGACCGAGAAAACCCGCGUGAAUCUGUGGGGACCACCCCAUAAGCCUAAGUAUUCCUUGGCGACCGAUAGUGAACUAGUACCGUGAGGGAAAGGUGAAAAGCACCCCGGGAGGGGAGUGAAAUAGUACCUGAAACCGUUGGUUUACAAACAGUCAGAGUGUCGUCUCCGUAAGGAGGCCACGAUGGCGUGCCUUUUGAAGAAUGAGCCUGCGAGUGACGGUAUGUGGCAAGGUUAACCAGUGAUGGGGAGCCGAAGCGAAAGCGAGUCUGAAUAGGGCGUAUAAGUCGCAUGCUGUCGACCCGAAGCCAAGUGAUCUAUCCAUGGUCAGGUUGAAGCGGGGGUAAGACCCCGUGGAGGACCGAACACACGUCAGUUGAAAAUGGCGGUGAUGAACUGUGGAUAGGGGUGAAAGGCCAAACAAACUUGGUGAUAGCUGGUUCUCCUCGAAAUGUAUUUAGGUACAGCGUCACGUGUUCAGUCCCGGAGGUAGAGCACUGGAUGGGCUAGGGGGCCUACAAGCUUACCGAACCCAGCCAAACUCCGAAUGCCGGGACUCCAGAACGUGGCAGUGAGACUACGGGGGAUGAGCUUCGUUAGUCGAAAGGGAAACAGCCCAGACCAUCAGCUAAGGCCCCUAAUUCAGGACUAAGUGGAAAACGAUGUGGGACUGCUUAGACAGCCAGGAGGUUGGCUUAGAAGCAGCCACCCUUGAAAGAGUGCGUAACAGCUCACUGGUCGAGUGGUCCUGCGCGGACAAUUUAACGGGGCUCAAGUCCUGAGCCGAAGCUAUGGAUUCGUACUUAGUACGAGU
rnacentral:rRNA from 1 species